rnacentral:rRNA from 1 species
CAGUCGCCGCGGGAAAACGGAGGGUGCAAGCGUUAAUCGGAAUUACUGGGCGUAAAGCGCACGCAGGCGGUCUGACAAGUCAGAUGUGAAAUCCCCGGGCUUAACCUGGGAACUGCAUUUGAAACUGUCAGGCUGGAGUCUUGUAGAGGGGGGUGGAUUUCCAGGUGUAGCGGUGAAAUGCGUAGAGAUCUGGAGGAAUACCGGUGGCGAAGGCGGCCCCCUGGACAAAGACUGACGCUCAGGUGCGAAAGCGUGGGGAGCAAACAGGAUUAGAUACCCGCGUAGUCCCUGUCUCUUAUAA